rnacentral:rRNA from 1 species
GACGUAGGGUCCAAGCGUUGUCCGGAUUUACUGGGCGUAAAGAGCGCGUAGGCGGCUCGUUAAGUGUGAAGUGAAAUCUCCAGGGCUCAACCCGGAAACUGCUUCGCAUACUGGCGAGCUGGAGUGACGAAGAGGUUUGUGGAAUUCCUGGUGUAGCGGUGAAAUGCGUAGAUAUCUGGAGGAACACCGGUGGCGAAGGCGGCAUCCUGGACCAAUAUUGACGCUGAGGAGCGAAAGCCAGGGGAGCAAACAGG